GUGGUUGCUUCGGCAGCACUUAUACUAAAAUUGGAACAAUACAGAGAAGAUUAGCAUGACCGCUGUGCAAGGAUGACACACAAAUUCGUGAAGCGUUCCAUGUUUUU
rnacentral:snRNA from 1 species